rnacentral:lncRNA from 1 species
CUCGGAUGCAAUGAUCAGUCAAGCCUUUAUUCAUUAAGAAUGGUUCAAAUUUAGUUUUACCAAUCAUUUCCUCAUCAAAUUAUUAAGGUAGUUUUUGCUGGUGGCUAGACAAAAUAGUAUACGACAACAUUAGAUGGUACCAAAUGUGAAAUUGGUCAAGAUUUUUUAGUAGCAUCCAGUAUAGGUAUUGGGAGGAGCAAUAAAAUAUUCGAACAAAAGUAGCAACUAUUUUAAUUUUUUCCUCGGUUGGGCUGAACAUUACCUUCAAGGCGACAUCCAAGUCCUGGGACGAACUGAGUUAGUGUGCAUGAAACUGGGUCUUGGAGCAAGAUGAACUCUGUUGACUCCUGCUUAAAGACUGAGCUUAAGACUAUGUGCACUAAGCCAGGUUAUUUUGGUUGUGUUUUAGCUUCGGACUAUGUCCAAAGUUAAAGUUUUGGUUAUGCUUAAGUUUGGAUUAUUUUCCUGUUCAAUUGUUUGAGACAAUUCCUCAUAUCUAGUUGGUUGUUCUCAAUUCAAAACCUUACUGGUUGAUGUGCCUUGUUGGGGUUUAAAACUGGCUCGCGAUUAGGUCAGUGUACGCUUAAUGGUAGGAUUUGUGACCUACUUCAAGUCUAUCAUGCUAGAGGAAGUUCAAUAUGUAAAGACAUUUCAACUACUGC